UACGGAGGGAGCUAGCGUUGUUCGGAAUUACUGGGCGUAAAGCGCACGUAGGCGGCUUUGUAAGUUAGAGGUGAAAGCCCGGGGCUCAACCCCGGAAUUGCCUUUAAGACUGCAUCGCUUGAAUCCAGGAGAGGUGAGUGGAAUUCCGAGUGUAGAGGUGAAAUUCGUAGAUAUUCGGAAGAACACCAGUGGCGAAGGCGGCUCACUGGACUGG
rnacentral:rRNA from 1 species